rnacentral:rRNA from 1 species
UGAGGAAUAUUGGUCAAUGGGCGCGAGCCUGAACCAGCCAAGUAGCGUGCAGGAUGACGGCCCUAUGGGUUGUAAACUGCUUUUAUGCGGGGAUAAAGUGAGGGACGCGUCCCUUUUUUGCAUGUACCUUAUGAAUAAGGACCGGCUAAUUCCGUGCCAGCAGCCGCGGUAAUACGGAAGGUCCGGGCGUUAUCCGGAUUUAUUGGGUUUAAAGGGAGCGCAGGCGAGGAUCAAGCCAGCCGUCAAAUAGCGGUGCUCAACACCGUCCAGCGGUUGGAACUGGUUCCCUUGAUUGCGGGAGAAGAAGGCGGAACUCGUGGUGUAGCGGUGAAAUGCAUAGAUAUCACGAAGAACUCCGAUUGCGAAGGCAGCCUUCCGGCCCGCCAAUGA